GAUGAACGCUGGCGGCGUGCCUAAUACAUGCAAGUCGAGCGAACAGACGAGGAGCUUGCUCCUCUGACGUUAGCGGCGGACGGGUGAGUAACACGUGGAUAACCUACCUAUAAGACUGGGAUAACUUCGGGAAACCGGAGCUAAUACCGGAUAAUAUAUUGAACCGCAUGGUUCAAUAGUGAAAGACGGUUUUGCUGUCACUUAUAGAUGGAUCCGCGCCGCAUUAGCUAGUUGGUAAGGUAACGGCUUACCAAGGCAACGAUGCGUAGCCGACCUGAGAGGGUGAUCGGCCACACUAGAACUGAGACACGGUCCAGGCUCCUACGGGAGGCAGCAGUAGGGAAUCUUCCGCAAUAGGCGAAAGCCUGACGGAGCAACGGCGCGUGAGUGAUGAAGGUCUUCGGAUCGUAAAACUCUGUUAUUAGGGAAGAACAAAUGUGUAAGUAACUAUGCACGUCUUGACGGUACCUAAUCAGAAAGCCACGGCUAACUACGUG
rnacentral:rRNA from 1 species